rnacentral:ncRNA from 1 species
UAGUAGGAGUUAAACCUACCAGGACAAAAGUCGGAAUCCUGUAACUAGGGUAGCAGUAUUGCGGGAAACCAAGAUGCUGAAGCCUACCGACAACAUUGUUGUAAGAAUAAUGAUGAAUUACCAGGCUGUAGCGAAA